rnacentral:lncRNA from 1 species
UAAUUUUAAUGAUCAUCGAAGUGGACCUCAGCUCCAACACAAUGUGUUCCCUACUUACCAUUUUCCUGUUACAGUUUCAAUCCAGUGUUCUUGAACUUUGGAAUCCUUAGUGUUUCCUUUUGAAAGGUAAAGAUCCUGGGGAGAGAUCGUAAAUUAAGUCCUAAUCAGUUAAUGCUUUAAUAAGGACAGUUCAGUCUACUGAGAAUAAGCACAGAAUGUGGGGUGGAAACAUCCUAGGUAUUUCUGGGAGACUAGUGAAGGUGAGAUGUGAAAGUGCUCAAACCUCACUUCACCUAAGCGCAUUUUGUCUAAACUCUGUCUUAAAAGGCAAAGAAUAAGGUUUAGCACAUCUCAUACAAAGUCCCAUCUGGUUGACGUAUGAGUGAGGUGCUGAAGGACAAAAACCAGGAAUGCAACCCUGGCUAAAGAACAGGGAGAAGUCAUAGUCAGGAGUUUGGAAUUCAUUCCACAGGCAGCGAGGGGCUGUUAGCAGGGACUGGAGACAAUAGACUUAUGCUGUUUAUAGGACAGGAGAAUUGGUGGGGAUAAGGUGGGAAGGGCAGGGGCCAGAGUGUGGUUAGGAGGCCCUUACCAUAAUCCAAUCAAAGAGGUCAUGGAACUCACAAUGGAGGUGGGGGUAGUAACAAGAAUAGACAGAAGCUUGCCAUACCUCACAGGACUGACCACCACUGAGAAGCAGGGCCUGCUUCUACCACAGACACGUGGGGAGAUUCUGAGCACUGCUGAAAGGAAGGAGCGAAAGCCUCCAUAUCUGGGUCUGGGCCUGGGCUUGGACAAGACAAAGCCAACGCGCCUACUCCUUGAGCAUCUCUCCCUUGCCUGCCGCCAUCAUCGCUUUGCCUUCGCUACCGCAUCCCGCCUCGUUCCCACGGCAACCGGCGCGGCGCCCACGUGUGAACUCUGGGCUGCAGGGGCCGCAGCGCCGCCCCG